CCCUUAGAUGUUCUGGGCCGCACGCGCGCUACACUGACGAAGUCAGCGAGCAUCUCCUUCGCCGAAAGGUGCGGGGAAUCUUGUGAAACUUUGUCGUGCUGGGGAUUGAUUUUUGAAAUUCUUGAUCAUCAACGAGGAAUUCCUAGUAAGCGCAAGUCAGCAGCUUGCGUUGAUUACGUCCCUGCCCUUUGUACACACCGCCCGUCGCUCCUACCGAUUGGGUGAGCCGAUGAAACUCUCGGAUGUAGGCUAUUCAUAGCCCGCAGAAGAGAUUUGAAUCGUAGCGCUUAGAGGAAGGAGAAGUCGUAACA
rnacentral:rRNA from 1 species